AGGACGAACGCUGGCGGCGUGCUUAACACAUGCAAGUCGAACGAGGAUAUACCAGAGGAGAGCUUCGGCAGGAAUCAGGUAUAUUCGAGUGGCGGACGGGUGAGUAACGCGUGAGCAACCUGUCCCAGACAGGGGGAUAACACUUGGAAACAGGUGCUAAUACCGCAUAAGACCACGGUAUCACAUGGUAGUGGGGUAAAAGGAGCAAUCCGGUUUGGGGUGGGCUCGCGUCCGAUUAGAUAGUUGGUGAGGUAACGGCCCACCAAGUCGACGAUCGGUAGCCGACCUGAGAGGGUGAUCGGCCACAUUGGAACUGAGAGACGGUCCAAACUCCUACGGGAGGCAGCAGUGGGGAAUAUUGGGCAAUGGGCGAAAGCCUGAACCCCCAGCAACGCCGCGUGAGUGAAGAAGGCCUUCGGGUUGUAAAGCUCUGUUAUAGUUGACGAAGGAAGUGACGGUAGGCUAUAAGGAAGCCCCGGCUAACUACGUGCCAGCCGCUGC
rnacentral:rRNA from 1 species